rnacentral:rRNA from 1 species
UACGAAGGGGGCUAGCGUUGCUCGGAAUUACUGGGCGUAAAGAGCGUGUAGGCGGUUCGGUAAGUCUGCUGUGAAAUCCUGGGGCUCAACCCUGGGCGUGCAGCGGAUACUGCCGGGCUAGAGGGUGGUAGAGGCGAGUGGAAUUCCGAGUGUAGCGGUGAAAUGCGCAGAUAUUCGGAGGAACACCAGUAGCGAAGGCGGCUCGCUGGGCCACACCUGACGCUGAGACGCGAAAGCGUGGGGAGCGAACAGG